rnacentral:rRNA from 1 species
UACGUAGGUGGCAAGCGUUGUCCGGAUUUAUUGGGUUUAAAGGGUGCGUAGGCGGCUUUGUAAGUCAGUGGUGAAAUACUCCAGCUUAACUGGAGGGGUGCCAUUGAUACUGCGGAGCUUGAGUACAGAUGAGGUAGGCGGAAUUGACGGUGUAGCGGUGAAAUGCAUAGAUAUCGUCAAGAACACCGAUAGCGAAAGGCAGCUUUCUGGGCUGUAACUGACGCUGAUGCACGAAAAGUGUGGGGGAUCAAAACAGG